rnacentral:rRNA from 1 species
GCCUACGGGGGGCAGCAGUCGAGAAUCAUUCACAAUGGGGGAAACCCUGAUGGUGCGACGCCGCGUGGGUGAAGAAGGUCUUCGGAUCGUAAAACCCUGUUGUUAGAGAAGAAAGUGCGUGAGAGUAACUGUUCACGUUUCGACGGUAUCUAACCAGAAAGCCACGGCUAACUACGUGCCAGCAGCCGCGGUAAUACGUAGGUGGCAAGCGUUAUCCGGAUUUAUUGGGCGUAAAGGGAACGCAGGCGGUCUUUUAAGUCUGAUGUGAAAGCCUUUGGCUUAACCGGAGUAGUGCAUUGGAAACU